rnacentral:misc_RNA from 1 species
CUGAGUUAGGGUCUACUCGGCCCGACCUCCCAACCCUUUGUUUACUGAACCAUCGUUGCUUCGGCGAGCCCGUCCUUCGGGACCGCCGGGGGACCCUUCUAGGUCCUCUGGCCCGCGCUCGUCGGUGGCCCUUUCUAAAUUCUUUAACUAAACGUGUCAAUUCUGAGUACCAAUUUUUAAUUAAAGCA